AUUGAACGCUGGCGGCAGGCCUAACACAUGCAAGUCGAGCGAGCGGCGGACGGGUGAGUAAUGUCUGGGAAACUGCCUGAUGGAGGGGGAUAACUACUGGAAACGGUAGCUAAUACCGCAUACCAUCAGAUGUGCCCAGAUGGGAUUAGCUAGUAGGUGGGGGAAUGGCUAACCUAGGCGACGAUCCCUAGCUGGUCUGAGAGGAUGACCGGCCACACUGGAACUGAGACAGGGUCAGGACUCCUCCGGAAGGCAGCGGUGGGGAAUAUUGCACAAUGGGCGCAAGCCUGAUGCGGCCAUGCCGCGUGUGUGAGGAAGGCCUUCGGGUUGUAAAGCACUUUCAGCGAGGAGGCGUUACUCGCAGAAGAAGCACCGGCUAACUCCGUGCCAGCAGCCGCGGUAAUUC
rnacentral:rRNA from 1 species